rnacentral:lncRNA from 1 species
CCUUCACACAUUGUAAUGGGAUACUCAUUUAGGCAAGACGCUUUGCAUGGGAGGACACUCAUUUAGCCCAAUGGGCAAGCGAGACUUAGAUACAACCACUGCAUUCCCUGGUUUCGGGUGCUUUACAUCAAAGAGGUAUGAAAAACAUUUCUCACGAAUCUUACUAUCUUGUUUACUUUUUAUCAGAUUCAUCCACACCUAUGUCUCCCUUCUACUUACGAAGGUAGAGGAAUCGAAUUCACACAAACCAAUCAUCAUGUGGCAUGAAUAAGUAUUACUUCAAACCUAAUAAUAGUGCUCGUCAAAAUUUGACUUCCCAGGUGGAAAUUCUUUCUGCAGUAUGUAUAUUAUUAAACAUGUAAAAUCAACAUUCUGGGCUGGUCUUCAAUGAAGCCCAGUAUUUCUCUCCAUUGUCACUUAGUCUAGACAUAAAUUUUAGCUUCUGGUUACUCUUCAAAUUCAAGUAAUCAACCUGUGAAUCAAGAUGGAAAUCAUAAAAAAGUUAUAAGACGAACACAAAAAUGUCAAGAAAAAAAUACAAUCAAUUUUUUUUCCUCCUUUCCUGGGAAAAUGAAAACUGAAGUAGUUGGUUCUUAAACCUGAUCUGGAUCAAGAAUCAGCACGCAAAAUGCAUCAACUGGGCCUGCACAAGGAUCUAGAGAAAACUCCUUGGGUUGUUCAUUAACACUGGGGCAACCUUGCUCAGGAUCCAAGUACUGCAAUCGCGCUUUCAUGGAACAGCCAAACCAUGAUUUCUCUCUUAUCUGCAUAAUAAAUGUAAAGGAAAUGAGGAGAACAUACAGUAUAUCUACCAGAAUUAGCACCAUAGAACGCAAUUUAAUAGCCAAGUCCUCUGAAAGUCAGGUUCUAAAAAUUGGGGUGUGUUAUUGUGUGCACAUUAGAAGAAAAGAUCCAACAUCACCUGCAGUUUUUCAGGAUCAGAGUUGGACCCAUCAAUAACAUCAACUCUUCCAUUGAUCCGAAACUGAUCCCAAGAUUCAGUAAAGUACCAGCAUAUCUGAUGCAUCAUAUAUACAGUUAAAAAUAAGCUUAAGAGAACGAGAUAACGAAACCAGAAAAAAUAUACAUGUAAAGCUCAAAAAGUGAUUACCUCAGAAAAUGGACAAGAUUUAAGCUCCUCAAUCUGCAUAUUAUUAAUUUUAUUCAGGUAAAUCAAGCACUUACAUGUGUGUGUGUGUAUUAAACAACUAUACAAACUGAAUAAAAUUGAUAAAAAUUGAUUUUGAAAAAUAAAGAACCUUUCGACUUCGUGUAUCAGAAUUGAUCUGUAUCUUGUCAGUGUUGUCUUGAAAUCCUCUAAAAACCCAACAAAUUACUCGCAUCUCAUUAACAUCUUCGGGAAAAAAAAAUUAAGUUCUUAAAUAAAAAUUUUCACUUGAAGAGGGAGAGAGUACCGGAAAACGACAGUGCGAUUCGAAGGCCUGCCGUUGGUUCCAACUGUUGCCUAAAAACAAGGUGGCAAUUCUUAAAUUAUGCAAGUCGAGUGAAAAGUAUAGUUAUAAUUAGUAAUUACGAACGUACAAGCUGAAAGUAAAUAGAGUGCUUGAGGUGAGACUGGGACUCCAAUGCCUGUAGAAGAAGCUGCUUCCAUGGCGCUGUUACUGGCGUUCCCAUUUCUGUCCUUUUUUGGUGGUCGUUUCUUUCAGUUUCAGCUUUGCACUUUCGGCUUCUGGCUUACUGUUUUCGUUUGUCGAAACUCGUAGGUUCUCGGGGUCACUUGUUUUUGGACCUUCAUAAGAAUCAAGCCACUCAGGCCAUUAGUCCGUAGCUACCCAGCCCAUAAGGCCCAAAUAUCCAGAAACUAAGUUGCUUUGCUGGGCUUGGAAGUAGUAUUAUCUUAUUGAGUGGGACUAUUGGCACCCCUCAAUAACUCUAAUAAAACCCUUUUUGUUUAAAGCACCUGCAAUGAAAAUUAAAAUAACAUAAUCACUAAUAUCACCCACGGAUUAAUUUCAUAAAUGACCUUACCUAUUUCUUCCUAAGACCUAAAAGACUUUUAUGGAAAGAUAACAUAAGACCGCAAAAUUACUCAAUUUAGUGUAUUAUUAUAGAUUUUUUAUCAAAAUAAAGAAACUAGUGACUCUUCCAUGGCGAAUAAAUAAGUUUUCUAAAAGAAGCUAUUAUGAUUUAGACAACAAGAUAACUAAUGGCGAAGUCAGAACUACAGCUGCAAUUAAGCUUUAAACCCUUUAAAUUAUUAUAUUUCUUAAGAAAUAAUUAAGAUUUUUUUUCCUUUCGUUGAUAGCCAUUAAACUGAUUAUUGAAUGAUUUUGUACAUAUUUUAAACCUAAAAGUGCAAGUUAACACUUGUGAAACUCACUAGUCAAGUGCGUAUAUAAAAUAGAAAAAAUUUAUUUUGAACUUCUCAAUAAAACUAAAACUUAAAUAAUUUAUUUCAUCAGAAGUUAUUUGUAUACACGAUCCUUAAUUUAGCAUUUCGAAUAAAGAAUUCAUUGUAGGUUUGCAGCAAAAAUGCAAACAACAAGCAAUGGUAACGAUAAAUGCAGAGUGAGAGAAAAAGAGAGAGAAAUCUGCAGUUUGAGUUGAGAAAAAAGAUUGGUUUUUUUGUCAUUUUAUGAGAGGUUAAAAUUGUAAACACACAAGAGGGGUUUCGAAAGAGUUUUCAAGGGGUCCUAAUAGCAUCACUCUAUCUUAUUAUAAUAUUUCCCUCUUACGUCAUUAUUAGUUUGUGUUUAUAAAUUACGAAUUGGCAAUCCACGGCUACAAUCUGAAUUUCCUUUCUUUUCAAUUUUUUUAGUCAUUGCCAUACAAUUUAACUUACAAAUGUAAUUAAACAAACAUUCGUCACCUGAAAUCAUUGAUUUGCCCAUCAUUGUCUCCAAGCUCCCGAAGCCGUUCUGUGAUUCUGACCCUUAAGUCUUAAGGCAAAGUUUAGUUCCUGAAGAAGUGAAGAAAAGUAUAAUCAAAAUUAUUUUUUUGGUGUGUUUCCUCUCCUGGAAAGAGCUGAAGUGCUCCCGGUGUGUUUGAAAUAUGUUAAAAUUUUGUUUCAUUUGUCGGCAAUGCAACUUAGCUAAGGUAGUGUUUACUUUUUGGAGUGAGAGUAUGGAGUGUAGAUUCCUCCUACUCCAGUGUUUACGUACCUUAAAAAAUGGGAGAGUGGGAGUGGGAAUCCGUGGGUCCUACUCAAUUUUGGAGUGGGGAGUGAGAUUCUCACUCCCAUGAGGGGAGGUGGGAGUGGGAAUCCACUCCCCCCUCUUCCCAUUUUAUCUCUAUAAUUAAAUAAAUAAAUAAUAUUUAAUAAAAUAAAUAAUAUCAUAUUUAUUAAAAAUAAUAAUUAUAUCAUAUUUAUUUUAUUAAAUUUAAUAAAAUAAAAAUAAAUAAAUAUGAUAUUUAAAUUAAUAAUAUUAAACAUUAAUUUUAAUAAAUAUUAAUUAAUUAUUUAAUUAAUAAUAAUAAAUAUUUUAUUCUAAAAAAAUAUUAAUGAUUUCAUUUGUGUUGCUAUUAUUAAUAAUUUUUAUUCACAUAAUUUAAAUUAAAAUUAAUAAAAAAUUAUAAUUUACAUAAUUAAGAAUAUUAGUAAUUAUUAUUAAUUUAGAAAUAUAAUAAAAUAUUUAUUUUAUUUUCCAAAUAUUUUUUAUUAAUUUUUUAAUUACAAAUUAUAAUUCUGUACAUAAGGAUAAAAUUAUAAUUUAAAACAAUUUACUCCCAAUCCAAGACAAAGUAAACAAAUAAUUAGGAUUCUGAUUGACAAUCCAUACUUUCAUUUAGUCUAAGUAAACACCCUACUACCACUCCCACUCCACACUCCUAAUCCAAAGAUUCCCACUCCUCAGAAUUCCCACUCCAAUCUAAAAAGUAAACGCAGCAUAAAUGUAGAGGCCAGAGGGCUGCAUGUAACUCUUAUUAGAGUUUCCUUGUUUCGUUUCGUAACAAUUAGCGGCAUUAAUAUUGCUUGGAUCUUGGUACCUAAAAUUGAGAGUGUCAAAUCGAUUGUGUUAUCAACAUCAAUACUGCCGAUUAGGAAAUGGGGUGAUCACGAUGGGACAACGUUCAUAUAAACAUAUUUACAUGCUUGUGAAAAUAAGAUGAUUCCAUGGUCCUGCAUUAAUAGUAUGAAAAAAAGAAAUUUGAUUAAUCUACAUCCCUUGGUCUUAUACGUCACUCAAACCAUUUUGGGGAAAUCUACUUGAAGGUUUUAAAACUUUCACUUGUCCGAAUCAAAUGUUUAAAGAAGAAACAAAUAGAAAAUUAUAGGGAAAAUAUCCACCGUCCACCUGUUUUUUUUAACUUUAUAAAAAAUACACAAUUUUUUUUUUUUUACUGGAAUCCACCUAAACUUACGUUUUAUUUCACUUCUCCACUUCCGCUUGUUGCCCGUUAUAACAUUACUGAUGUCGUAGGGAUAAAUCGGUCAUUUCAGCAUAGCAGCCAAAAACGACGUCGUUUAUAAUCUAGGCUGUGUUCAUACCUCACACCCUUUGGUCAGAUGUGGCCAAAUCCUCGUUCAUUAAGACAACCUGUCUUGGUGGUGACCUUCAAAAGUCAAAUGUAAUAUAAUGUUUUCAUUUCAACACACCACAAGCACGACCUAGCGGCUGCUCCUGCUUUUGUCCCAUUCAACAUGCUAUUCCUUUGUUAACGUAAGUCCUGUGUCUACUUUACUGUUCCUUGGAAAUAAUUCUCCCCUCUCUUGAAGCCAAAGCGGAGGUUCAACUUUCAGUUCAUUGAGGUACCCUCUUCGGUCUUCUUCACAUUGGUUUCUUCUCUUUAUCUUGUUUUGUUCUGUUGUUUUGUUUCAUACUUGCUUCAGUCUAUUAAUUAAUUAAACCUGUUUAUUUUCUUUGUAUUGUGGUCCUGUUCAUGUAAUUGCUCCAGAAAUUUCUCAGUUGUUUAUUUAUUUAUCUAUCUGGUCUUUCUUCUUUGCUUUAUUUUAUUCUAUUUUAAUUUUAAUUUUUUUUUUUUUGGGGUAAAGCAAAGCAGUAGAGCCAACAUUGGUCUUUUUUUUGUUUUUUCCCCUCUCAAGAUCUCUCCUUCGCAACCAAAAAUUGACCCUUGUUGUCGGUUUAAAAUCCUAAAUGAAUGAAAACACUUGUUGAAGAAUUUUCUGGUUCCAUGAAGAAUCAUUUACAAUUCGAUCGUGGUUCAGUUUCAACAUAUUCGAACCGGAACCAUGUCGAUAAGUUUAAGCUGAAACAGAGCCGUGAACCGAUAGAUCCUCCUUUUGUUUUGGGGGCAAAAUAGUCAUUUGACUAAGAUUCCGUUAGUUUUCGUAACGGGCAGCAAACGGAAGUGGAGAAGCAAAACAAAACGUAAGUUUAGGUGGAUUCCAGCAAAAAAAAAAAAAUUGUGUAUUUUUGAUAAAGUUGGAAAAAACAAGUGGACGGUGAAUAUUUUCCCAAAAUUAUAUUUGUUUACCUCAAGAAUUCUGAAAAUAAUUUGUCGUCUUUGAUGAAUUCCACGAGUUGAAUUCGAGUGUGUACCUAUGAAAGGUAGUCCGAAACUUCAAAUUAGUUUCUGUUUUGUAGAAUUUUUAGUUAUGCAGAUAUUUGUUGAUUUUUUCUAAAUUAGCCAAAAGAUCUUUUCUCUCGAUCAUUUUAGCCUCAAUUUAUAGAUUGGGAGACGUGGAGUUGGUUGGAGAUUUCAUUUUGGAUCUAAAUCACUGCCAUCUAUCUCCUUUGUUUAAUUUAUAUCGUUAAAUAUGAUAAUUGUUUUUGUCUAUUUUUGAAUUUCUAAUAUGUAAUUAUGUUAGUAAUUAAGUGUUGCUUGUCAUUAAUAUUUUUAGGCCGGAUCAUUGUUAGUUUACUCCAGACUUUUCGAAUAAAUCAGCGUUAUUGAGUUCCAAUAUGAUGAGACCAAUGUAAGCCAUAUCUGUAUUGAUUUCUAAUCCAAAAUCAAUAUAAACCAUAUCUGAAUCACCAUAAUCCAUAUUCACACCAUAAUCCAUAUUCAUAUUGAUCUUUAAUUAGAUAUCAAUACAAGUUAUAUCGAUUAUUCGAACUAACAAUAUUUUUUGGACACGGUGUAAGAGGUUACAUUUUUAACACUUACAUUACUAAUUUUAUGUGAUCAUUGGCGAGAUAGCUAUUAUAUUGUCUAUCACAUAUUCUUAGGGUACGUUUUGAUUUUUAUUAGAUUGAUUGGAUUUGUUUACAUAACGAUCAUUUUACCGAGUAAUUACUUGUUACUUAUUUCAAAAUAAGAGCAUCCAUUUCCCUUGUUCAAUAAUUAUUUGGUUUGUGAGAAUGACACAAUUCUACAUUUAGUUUAUGUGAGAGACAAUUUUAAUUAAAGCUUUGUUAAUUGAUGUUGAGUUUUGAAUUUUACACAUCUUCGUUUCUUUUUUAUUUUUUUUUCUCAUUUUUUCCUUCUUUUUAUCCUGUUUAGGUAAUAUAAAUUGACCCACUAAAAAUAAGUUAAUUUAUGUUAGACAUUUAUAUCUGAGGGUUCUCUUUUAACUAUAAGAAUACAUAUAUAAUUCAUUCAAAAUUUAUCAAUGUAUAUAUCAUUAAUUCUAUCACACUUACGAAGUUUUGUAUUACGAAAUUAAGAUACAAGGUAAUUAUUUUAUCUAUUAUUUUAAUGUCACAUGAUAAUUUGCAUGAAUCUCGUUUGUGCCAAAUUUUGUGUGUGCACAUAUCAUUAUAGCUUGGCCUCAUAUGACGUUGAAGUUGCAUUAGGAUCCGUAAAAGGCAAAAAAGAACAGUUGGAGCAUGUGAAGACAUAGUUUUGGUUGGGGCAAAGUUUGAUAAGUGGGAAGAUAAAACUUCUAGAUACAUGACAAAGACAUGUUUUCAUUGUUGUUUUGUUUAGCUAAAAAUGUAACAAGUCCAAGUGGCGUUUAUUAAUGGAAAAUAACGUAAAAUAAGGUGUUCACCAUUUAUUUAUAAAUUCUGUAUUUU